CCUAGGCAGGAGGUUUCCGACAAGGCCUCACUACCCACGGCGUGGUCCGGAGGAAGUUCUCGAGGGCCAGGAGGUCCACUUCCGGUCAUGUCCUUGGCUCCUCCAAUCAGCUGUCCUAAGGCCAACUCUUCACACUGAAGACUUCAAAUCUGUGAGCCUUCUGAUAGGAAUUCAAGGUAUACCUCAUCACACAGCUCCUGCCUGAGGCUUCCCAGACGUGGCUGUCAUAGGACUCGAAAUACUGGAGUUUCAAGUCUGCUGGGCUUCAUAGUGGAACUAAACCUGCAGCUGUCCUGAGCAUCCAGCUUGUCACCUCAUCCUGCAGAUCUUGGAAGUUAUCAGCCUCCAUAAUCAUCCUAUGUCAGAGAAUAUGCACUGCAGGACAGAAAACACCAAAAUAGCCAAUAUGUUUCCUGGCAAGAAAAUUGUCCCUAUUUGAGGGGGCUCUGCACUACUGAGAAAGUGCCCUCUCCCACCCCAGGGGAAAGCAGCCGCCCCAGCUGCCUGACUAGAACCGGCGCCUGCUACGGCCCACCACGCGCUCCUCCUCCUCUAGCAGAGCCUCCUCAUAUAGCUGGGGGAAGCAGCUGGGCAAGGUGUCGUUGAUCUUGGCCAGGGCCUGCAGCACCUGCAUCUUGCUGGUCUCCACGCGGGCCCGCGGGCCCCACAGG